GGAAGCCAGACCUACUUCACACGGUUCCAAGGAGACUGGCCCUUUCUUCUUCCACCCCGGAAGGUUCAGAGGAGGGAGAGGCUGGCAGUUCAGGCUGAAAAGGAAGAGACAAAGGCGGCCCAGAGGGAGCCUGGCAGACACUGGUGUGCCAGCCUGCCCUGGCCCCCCCAGCCCUCGAGGCCCGAGUGGAGGGGGCUGCGGGGACGCAGGCCUGGCCCCCGUGUUCAUGCCAAGGGCCCAGACCAGCCUGGGAAGAGCCGAUGGGAAGAAGUGGGGCAUGGAACAGCCAAGGCGACGGGAACGGGAGUGAAUUCUCCCCCACAGGGGCGGGCGGGACCGCCUCUUGGCCCAGAGACUUCCUUCAACCACGACCACUGGACUCUGGAAGGCGGGCUGGGGGGCAGGCGACAGGGAGGCCCUGGCAUGGGCCUACCGGGCGGGAGGCGGCUCCGGCCUCCUCCGGGAACCCCGGCGGAGGUGGGGCUCCAGAUGUUCUCCACAUGCUUGGCCCUGGCUCCAGGCAGAGGAAUGUGGCUGCAGAGAGGUGCCAGGAGAGGCCAUGGGGGAGGGCCUGCAACCCGCCCCCCUCGUAGGACCCAGACCUCCCAGGGAGGGGGUCCCAGAGGUCAAGGCCUCCACUGCCCCUGCCUCCAUCUCCUCGUGGGAUGCCACCACAUCCUAUGGCUGAAACUCCUCGCCACUCACUGUGCUCGAGAAGUCACUCAGCGGAUGUUUGCCGGGACCCUUCUAAAGACCAGGCGCCCCAGACUGUGCACAGUGAGCAACAGCGCUGUGCGGGGAGGACCCGCUGCCUGUCCGGGGAGGGGUGCCUCGCAAGGCGACGCAGGCACACGGCAGGUGCAGCCCCCGGGCCUCUGGAGGAGUCCUGUUCGGGGGUGGCUGGCGGUCACAGAGCCCUGACCGCCUGACCUGCCCCGACCUUUGUACUGGUGAUUCCCUUGCUUUUGUUUAUAGCUUGCCGCCCCUCGACGCAUCUCUAAAUAAUCUAUUGUGCUGUU